rnacentral:lncRNA from 1 species
GAUUUCCACAAAUAUUGCCCUACUUGGUUUAAUAAUAUACAGAUUUGAUGAGUUUUCAACGUCACUGCAAAGAAAACAGAGAAGCAUGAGAGUAUGACACCUAAUUUAUUGAGCACACUUAUUUUAAUGCUGCUGAUACCACACACUUAACUUUAUUAUUAAAUUAAUAAUUACUGAAAAGACUACUAUUUCACAACAAGAAAAGAUGGACCUCUAAUUCUAGCUCUUUUACAGAAAUGACAAGAGGUUCUAAAAGAAGUUGUGAAACAGUUACUACUGCAUUUUAAGUACUUAUAGAAAGAAAAUAUUCUUUCUUCUGAUGGCUGGGUUGGAUCACCAUUCAUAUAACGCAACAGUACGAACAGGAGAAGGCUGCAUUCCUCAGCUUGCCCCUUUCUCCAAACUGUUACUGGGAGGGAGUUGAAGAUGGAUGACCAUAUCGACACAAUGUAGAGUAAGAAUGUCUGAGCUGUCCAGGGCGCCCAGAGAAAAGUCUUGACAAAGCCUAACUGCCUUUGUUCUUUAUCUGCAGAAGAAGAGCCCCACCAUCACGGGAGCUUGUUAGAAACCACAAACCACAUGAAUAAUGAGAAGCAAAUAUAGCAAGCUGAAUUUAUAAUAGCUCUGUGUUCUUAUAUGUAUGUAUGCUGUAUUUCCAAAAAUAAGUGUAAAGUGUAUAAACAAGAAGCAUUACUUCUUACGAAGGUGUUUAUGGUUUUAAACAGAAUAUUGUUUUCAAAGCAUUGUCACUCAGCUGGUGUUGUAUAUGUACCUCUAUGAAUAUGAAUAAAUGCUAACAUGACCCAGUGAAUUCUGUGCAAUACUAUUUAUAUCCUGAAAAUGUGGAAAAUAUCAGUGCUUUUCUGAUUGAUUUAGCAAGAGUAUUGUUAUUGUUCUUUUCAGAAAAUGGGAGCAUUUGCAUAUCUAUGACAAAGUGUCACUGUAAGACAUAUCAAGUCAAACUAUGUGAGUCACACCAUGUCAGAAUACAAUGCACAAAGAAACUUUCUGAAAAUGCUGCAACCUGAGAUUGUAUGUCAGAAUCUAGUACUUCAUUACCAAGAUAAUCCAACCUAUGAUAACUUCAUUAUCUAAAAUUUUCAGUGCAGAAAAACUGUGUUAGUUAGGGAUUGCAAAGGUCUCCUCUAGUCUUAAAGUCUCUUCUUUUUAUGCAAUAUUAUAAACGAUUUACAUGCUAAGCUCAAAACUGCUCCUUUACGGAGCUUUGAGGAAAAACUGUUGUGUAUCAAAUAUAAUACCUAUAAUUUUCUGUAUACAAAUCAAUUAAAUACAACAAAGUAAUAAGAUUUAAAGCUGAUAUAACAUCACAUCUGUCAAAUCUUCACAAUUGGCAAUGUGUGACUAGGAAAGAGGUAAGAAAAAAAGCUUAAGAGUUCUGCAUAGUCUAAUAUUGUUUGGACUUGAUAAUACAAGAAAAUACUCAUACAAUUUGAUUGGAGCAUUUAAUUUAGGAUGCUAUUUUGUUACCUACAAUCCAUUUAUAGGAUCUCUACAGCUUCAAAAAUUUAUUGGAAAUCUAAUAUUAUAAUACCCUAUAGCCUUUCUUUGACAUUAAAGUCUUUAUAGGAAACAAAGUCUUUAAUUCAGGCAUCUAGAUUUAAGCAUAAUCAUCCCCCGAUAUUUCUUUUGAUGAUUUGCUGGUCCUGAAGAAAGAUGUUUCUUGCUUUUUUGUUAAGAAAAUUCUUAGACUUUGCCAGGAAGAUAUAAUGUAGGAUAUAAAAGAAAAACCUCAUCUACGAGGGCAUACUGAGAGAACUGGGGCUGUUCAGCCUGGGAAAGAGAAGGUUUCUGGGAGACCUGAUAGUGGCCCUUCAAUAUCCAAAGGGGGGCUAUAAGAAAGAAGGCAAUAAAUGCUUUAGCAAGGCCUGUUGCAAUACGGCAAGGGGAAAUGGUUUCAAACUAAAAGAGGGGAGAUUUAAAUUGCAUGUAAGAAAAAAGUUCUUUACAAUAAUGGUAGUGAAGCACUGAAACAGGUUGUCCAAAGAGGCGGUGGAUGCCCCAUCCUUGGAGACAUUCAACAUUGGGCCGGAUGGAGCUCUGAGUAAUCUGAUCCAGCUAUAGACAUCCCUGGCUAUAGCAGGGGGAUUAGAACUAGAUGACUUUUAAAGGUCCCUUCUGAUUCAAACAAUUCUGUAUAGAAAUAAUCAUACUCAAAGAAAUUGUGAGUUGGUAUGCUUCCAAAAAAAAAAAUUAUGUACAUUUUAUUAACAGGCAGUGGGUGCUGAGUACAUUACAAAAGGCCAUUUCCUCUUAGAGGGCUCCAGUUUGACCUUUUAACAAAAUCUGAGUGACCAUAUCUGAUCAUUCUUUUUAACACCUUGACUGGGACAAUUCUAGUAAUUCCAGCCAUUUUAAAAAACAAACAUGGAAAAGUUUCCCAAAGGCUCUUAUGAUUUUUUUUUGUUGUUGUUUGUUCUUUGAAACUGAAAACUGUCCUAAUGGAAAAACUUUUACUUGAGGGAGAAAUAAAGAGAAUAUUCUUCCCAGACAUCUGAUUUUUUCUUUGUUUCUGUAUGUUCAUCUGAUACAUAUAUUUUUUCUAAUUUGGUAUUUUACCCAUUUUAGUGUAAAUUGCCAUAAAUUUUGUUUGGUCUUAAAAUAGGUAUCAAUCUAAUAAUAAAAUCAAUCAAAAGCACAGACCACAUAGAUAUACAUAUGUUUAAGGAAAUUUCUGUUCUCCAUAAGCGUGACAAGUUUAUAAAUUGUGGCAUGGCCAAACUCCUUGAAAGAUAAGCUGUGUAAGUGUUGUGCUUCUCAAGCCUGUGCAAAUUAGCAUUAGGCAAAGAAAUGUGGCAAAAUGCAGCAAAAAAAAAAUUCUACUAAGGGGAACUGCAGCAACUGGUUAAAAUGUUGAAAUGGCUGGAAGAAAAGAAGAAAUUAAGGACUAAAGUUAGAUGCUUUUUUAAGGACACUUAGACGAGAUGAUUAUACGGGAUCCUUCUCUCAUUCAUUACUUAGGGUAUUAUUUAGUACUUGAUCCCCUCAGUAUGACUACCAGCACAUAUGCCAGAAAUCCCAACACAGACUGUAUUGUUUUGUUCCUGUUCCUUUUUAACACUUUAAAAAUUAACCAACUCUUUUAUCUGGGUACAUUUGGUACAUGUGCCUAUAUCUUGUACAAACUGGUUGUCCUGUUGAGUGAUGCUUACUCCCACUGACGUCUGCUGUGAUAAGAUGGAAUGAGUCACACUAGGUGUUUGUAAAGGUUAACAAGUAAUGUAUUCAGACCUGCAGAUAAAUCAUGAUGCCCUUCUAUGUGGCAGAUGCUACAGCGUAAAUUGCUAAGAAAUGCUUAAACAUAGGUAAAUAAAUAGGUGGAAUCAGUAACUCUAAAAUAAAUUCAAAGGUACAUUUUCUACUGUACAUGUUGAGCAUUAUCUCUGUAAAAAAAUAGCAGCACUGUGAAUGACCACUGAAUAUUAUUACUUCAUUGUUAAGAAUCUGGAUACACCAUAAAAAAAAAAAAAAAAAAAAAAAUCUGUAAUGUCUUGUCACUGCAUACUGCCAGUGUUGAACACUGCUCCAUACUGAUUUUACAUAUUUUACACCAUGCCAGAUAUGCUCCCUAUCUAGAGGAUCUGCUAGUCAAGAUAAAGCAUCAUAAUGGUUAUGUCCUAUCACACUAUCCCUCUGCUAAAAGCAUCAAAGAGAUACUUAAUGUAACAUCUUAUUUUUUUUCUUUCUGUUUUGCUUUUCCUGUAACUAAGUGGCC